CUUCAGGUUUUGUAGCGACUUCUCUCGGCGCGAGCUUCUUAUUCCCUGUCUUUCAAAAACCAGAUCCACAUCGCCCAACAUGUCUUGUUACCCAUCCGUGUGUGGACCCAGCUGCGCCAUUCCAUCCUGCGCUUCUACCCCUAUGAUGGGUCUUGGGUCAUGCGGCUAUGGAAGUGCAACAUCGGCAAGCAGUCUCGGCAUCGCCCCGGGGGCCAGCAUCUCGUGCGUUGGCCAGAUCCCUCCAUCAGAAGUCAUGAUCCAACCGCCUCCCUUUGUGGUGGUUGUCCCAGGACCAGUCCUUUCGGCGAGCUGUGAGCCGUUGAGUGUGGGAGGUUACACGGCCUGCUCUUCUGGGGUUUGCCGGCCAAGACGUAGACGUAGCAUCUGUGCCUCCCCCUGCUAAUCCCGGGACGAGGGUUUUGGCAACUGUGAUGUGAAAAGUUGACUAACUUUACGGUCUGUGCUUUCAGAAAUGCUGAGCGCUGGCGGCUCUGAUGGAAAGCAAUGACAGCUGCUGGCACUCGGAAUCUCUGAAAAUUAACCAGUUUGUAACUCGCUCCUUGUUUGCUAGGAAAAUGUAUGUUUCCAUCUCCCUCUCUUGCACUUGUAUCGUUAGUUCGCUUGUGUGAAUGCCGCAGGUCCCUGUAAUCUACAUUAGAGAAGGGUUUCGGUUUGGCUUAUUUUUGUCACACUUCAAUAAACUUUUGCUUGCAUCGCA